rnacentral:lncRNA from 1 species
CCCAUUUCAAAUUUAUGUACUCUAUCUUGCUCAAUCUCAACUAAUCUUGGAACAAACUUGGCUAACUCCAUGAAUUUAGCUUCAUACUCUGCAACGGAUCUGUUCUCCUAUUUCAGAUGAAUGAACUCCUGCUCUUUCUAUAUUCUGACACUUCGAGGAAAGUACUUGUCAAAGAAUUCAUCUCGAAAUCUCUCCCAAGUGAGUG